UACGUAGGAUGCAAGCGUUGUCCGGAAUUAUUGGGCGUAAAGAGCGCGCAGGCGGUCUAUCAAGUCAGAUGUGAAAUAUCCGGGCUUAACCCGGAGGGGUCAUUUGAAACUGGUAGACUAGAGUACAGCAGAGGAUAGCGGAAUUCCCGGUGUAGUGGUGAAAUGCGUAGAUAUCGGGAGGAACACCAGUGGCGAAGGCGGCUAUCUGGGCUGAAACUGACGCUGAGGUGCGAGAGCGUGGGGAGCGAACCGG
rnacentral:rRNA from 1 species